rnacentral:lncRNA from 1 species
CCUGGACUGAUCAGUAGCAGGGACAAAUGUGGUCUUGGAGUACUAGCAACAUCAUGACUUUUAUCCUUAUAUCCUAGACCUCCCCAUUUCUAGCCCGCUUGCCUAUUCCUAGAAGAUUAUCUACCUUUGACGAACCACUAGUGAAGGCAAGAAGUUGAGACUUAGAAUUCUCUAAAUCGCUCACAAGGUUCACUACCUGAAUCUCCAAGGUCUCAUUCAUGGUGGUCAACUCACUGACUUUCCUAGAGGACCUCACAAGCUCAUCUGUGAGAUUCUUAACUUGAGACUCUAAGGAUUCAUUAAUAGAUUUAAUCUCACUCAAGACAAUGGAAGAUUCCUUAACGUACACCUCUAACUUAGCUUUCUCUAAUUGAAGAUUCUGAACGGUCGUACUAAGGGCUUUGUUUUUAUUGAGAAUUUUCAGACUCUCCUAAUAACUUUUUUCAUAGGCCUGUUCGAUAUCUUCAUCACUCAUAGAUUCGUCUCCAGAAUCCUCACCACUAUCUAAGUCCUCAUCCCUUUCACUCCUCUGUUUAGAUCGACUCUUAACCCUAACAACAAAGACUGCAUAUUUUCCACUCUCCUCACGUGUGGAUUCCUCACUCUGAUUGUCCGAGCUAGGCUCGUCAUCAGUGAGAGUAGUAUUCAUUGCCUUCUCUUCAACUCUCCUAGCACUAGGGCACUCACUCAUCAUGUGACCGAAACCUUGAUAGUUAUGGCAUCUUGCAGAUUUAGAUUUUUUCCUAGAUUUACUCGGGCCACCUUUUUGUCUCUCUUGAGGCUUCUUCUUAUUCCUAAAAAUUUUCCUGAAUUUCUUAGCUAGGUAGGCCAUCU